rnacentral:misc_RNA from 1 species
UUGACUUAUUUAAUGUUUGCUCAGAAUAUAUAGUAGAUAUAGAGUCUCAUAUCUCCGGCAGGCACCUCUUAAGAGGCUACAGCCCCGCCCUGGGGCCGCCUGCCGAAGCAACGAUAUAGGUAGGUUCACAUAGGGUUUGGGAGUUUUUCAACUCUGUAAUGAUCCCUCCGCUGGUUCACCAACGGAGA